rnacentral:pre_miRNA from 1 species
UGAUAAUGAUGGUGGUGAUGGUAAUGAUGAUGGUGAUGAUGAUUGGUGAUGGCGAUUAGACGCAGAUGAUUGGACGUUAGCAGGGGGGCUGUAUUAUUGAUUAUUGACUGAUUUGCAUAUUGAGAGUGUCUGCGUACCAAAGUACAGGAAUCAUCAUCAUCAUCAUCAUCAUCAUCAUCAUCAUCAUCA